rnacentral:rRNA from 1 species
UACGGAGGGUGCAAACGUUGCUCGGAAUCAUUGGGCGUAAAGCGCACGUAGGCGGACUCUUAAGUCGGUGGUGAAAUCCUGGAGCUCAACUCCAGAACUGCCUUCGAUACUGAGAGUCUCGAGUCCGGGAGAGGUGAGUGGAACUGCGAGUGUAGAGGUGAAAUGCGUAGAGAUCCGGAGGAACACCAAAGGCGAAGGCAGUGUCCUGGGGAGUACCUGACGCUCAGGUGCGAAAGCCAGGGGAGCGAACGGG